AACUCCCUACACAUCCAUUCUCAAAUCCGAAAAAUAAAAAAAUAUAUAUAUCCAUUGACCGGAAGAAAUUCGCCUGCAAGAUGAAGAAGAUCAAACCAAACUGUGCAAGAUGCCCAGAAAUUCAAACACAAGGAGAGAUGCCAUUAUAUUUUUUCCCCCUUAAACCUCAGGAGCUGGGGCAGCAGCCUUUAAAAGCGGUUGGAGAGCCUUCACAACGAUGCUCAUAUUUGGCCGGAACUCAGCUUCGUACUGAACACAUAAUGCUGCCACAGCUGCCAGCUGCAUCACCCACCAAUUCACAGAGUUAGCUACUAGUUAUUUUUCUGUGAGUGUGUGUGUGGGUGAGAGAGAGAGAGAGAGAGAGAGGCAAAGAGACCUUAGCAACUCCUUUCGGAGGAUAUUCUCCCUUUAGUUUGGGAUCUACACAUUGUUUAACUUUGUCUUCACUCAGUCUUGGAGUAGCCUAAGAUGAGAAAUGUUCACUUUAGAUUAUAGAUAUAUAUCAAAGAAAAGCAAUUUGGAGUAGAGAAACUUGAAAGGCACUGGGUGAACAAAAGGCUUUUAAGCAAAUAGGCAGAAAAAGAAGAAAAAACCCACCCAGGUGACCAGACUUUGUUGUCCACGAGGCAUGGUAUGAUCAACAGGUUUUCUCCCAGUUAGAAGCUCUAACAGAACAACUCCAAAACUAUACACAUCACUCUUCUGAGUCAAUUGUCCAGUCAUUGCAUACCUAAAGAAGGGUUUUACACACACCAAAUGUGAAUCAGUCAGGAUUUAGUAAUUUACUAUAAUACUUCCUAGACAAUUGAAAGCAAGCAACUAAUAAUUUUUCAAGAAAGUAAAAUAAAAGGUCAAUAGAAAUUGGACAAAAAACAUAUUCCUGGAAAUCACAUUUCCAACCACAUUACAUUUGCAGGCACAAUAAGUUUUCAUCUCAAUUAUUUUCUUUUAAGAACUAAAGGCUACAAGAAGGCAAUCUUAUAAAAAUAAUUUUACCAAACAAUUAACUCAUAAGAUAAUAAUAGUCAAAGAAACAAAGGAAAAUAAGUUACAGAAUCAUUACUCUGGUGCAUGAUAGCCAAAGGUCCCCAGGACUCGAGUAGAAUGAAGGCGAGCAGCCAUGUCAGGAGCCUGAUUUGAAAGAUUAAAAUCUGCAAUCUUGGCUUUAAAGUCUUCAAAUAGGAGCACAUUGCUAGAUCUGAUAUCUCUAUGUAUUAUGGAAGGUUGAACCUUUUCAUGGAGAUACUCCAAUCCCCGAGCUGCAUCAACAGCAAUUCUCACCCGUUGCAUCCAGUCAAGCACAGGACCUGGUUGUGCCCCCUGGACUCCCUUUCUGCCUGAAUUAUGAUAAUAAAUCAAAAAAACAGCUUCAGACCUUAUGCAAGGAAACUUUUAAACUGGUGAAUUUAAAUUCAUCAAGGAGGACAAAUUGGUCUCUCAUACCAUGCAAAAUGUCGUGCAGAGAUCCCAUGGUUGCAAACUCGUAUGCCAACACACGGAGGUUUCCGUCCACACAAUAACCAAGCAACUCAACCAGAUUUUCGUGCUUCAAUCUUGAAACCAUGGAAACCUGAAGCAGAGAACAUCAUGUUACUCAUGUAUGAGGGGGGGAGAAAAGAAACCAGAUGACUAUGAAUUGGAUUGCAUGAUCGCAGAAACUUAGGAGAUCAACUCCUAAUAAAUUCAAUAAAGUUGCAUUUGUACCUGAGUUAAAAAUUCGACAGGGGUCUCAGGCUCAGAUGAAACAUCAAGUUUUUUUACAGCCACAGCUUUUCCAUUAUUCAAGCUGGCGUAAUAUACUCUUCCAUAGGAUCCUUCCCCAAUCAAUGCCUUUGAUCCAAAAUUGUCAGUCUUUUCCUUUAGUUCUUCCAGAGACAAUUCAGGUACUUCAAUAGGGGGUGCUGUCUUUUGCACUUCACUUCUAACAGGAGCUGACACCUUUGAGCCUUUUGGGUUUCCUGAAUUGCCCAAAACAGAAAUAAAAACAACAUUAGGAGAAUAUCAGCAUAAAAAUUAAUACAGUGGAAUUAGGUUGGGUAAGAGUAUCCAACAAAAGCAAAUGUAAACAUAUUGAAAUUUCUUGCCAAUAGACACAGAAUAUCCCACAAUGCAUGCACUCAGCAUGAACACAAUACUAAAAUAUUUUCUUAAGCUAAUUGAUACCAGCCUAAACUGGACAAGAGGAAGGGCCUAAUAAAUCCAAUUCAAAACAUUUAAGGAAAAAAGAGAAAACCAUAAAACAACAUGGGGCAAGACAAUUGCUCCCAUUAGAUGCAUAUGGAGAUUAUGCAGGGCAAAGAUAAAUAUCCAUAAACCAGUUAGAAGGUGGUGCUUCUGGUGGUUGGGAUGGAAAGGACAAAGGAAGAGCCCAAUAAAUUCAAUUAACAACAUAGAUGAAAAAUGAGAAUACUGUAAAACCGUGCUGUAAGACAAUAGCUUUCAUAUAUUCAUAUAUAGAUGGAAAGUUUGGAGGGUUGUUUCACUUGUGCUUGUUAUUCAACUCAUGGAUGCAAAAGAAAUAGGAGGUCAUUUAAUAAUGUCAAACAAUUGAACCAAGCAAUCAAAUCUUAUUUUAUUUAUUUAUUUAUUUUUCUUCUGAGACUAGGUUAAAGCAUAUAUAGAGGAACAUACAAUGUCCAUGACAGACUUUGUAAAUUAGGUAAGCUUCGAGUUACAAGAGGGAGUUUGUUUUUUGUUUUCCCUUCCCUUGGUUUACCUUUAGGCGCAUUUUGUAUACUUCAUGCGUUCUUUGGUGCACCUCCUCUUGGGUGCUUCUAAUAUAUUUUGCUUAUUUUCCUGUCAAAAAAUAUAUAGAGACUAUGUGGGGGAAAUAACCUCAAAAAUCAAUUAAGAUAGGUUUUGAAAAGAAAAAUAGGGGGGGUGUUUAGAGAGAGGAGAGAGAAGGGGGGAGGGGUAUGGUAGAAAGAGAUAGAUAGAAUGAUAGAUAGAGAGAGAGAGAGAGAGACAGAGGGAGAGAGAAAAGGAAGCAAAGAACAUAAUGAACCCAAUUCCCAGAAUAUAUGAAAAAUGAGACAACUGUAAAACAGCACUGUAAGACAGUAGCUUCCAUUGUGUGCAUAUGGAGACAAUGCAACAAGAGAUUGUCUUAAGAUGGACUUUACCUGAAGUAAGCACACUUUCCUGGUACUUAUUAAAAUACAAGAUCGAUCAUGGUUGUUGAGGAUUCUCUUUCAUUUAGUUAGGAGCUCGAGGAGAGUGGACCUAGGUGGAUAUCAUCAAUGUUCCUUGGAAGUUUUCACAACAAAGGUUUUGAAGUGAUUUUUGAAGCAUCUCAAAAUAUCUUUAUUAAAUGGCCACAACUAAACCUAAGAGUAACAACUUUGAAUUAAUUGGAUUCUCCUCACUAGUCAACGAAAUGCAUCUAAAUAAAGAAUUGUUCUUCCGAAUUUUUCAAAAAAAAGGGGAAAAAUCAACGGGGUGAGGUGGGUUAAUGCAGAGGAAAGAUGCAUAAUAUCAAAAAUCAAUUUGGAGGUGGUUGUGCUGGUGGUUGGGUUGGAAAAGAAAAGGAAGGACGGUAGAGAGAGGAAGAGGGAGUGACAGUCAAAGAGAGAGAGAGACCACUGUUCGGAGGCAGCAGUUAUAAUGACAGCAGAGGUGGCCAUCGCACUGUUAAGGUAUGAUAAAAAACUCGGUGGCUGGCAGUGGUUUAGAGAGGACGCAAAUCUUUAGUUUUGUUUGGAAGUCAGAAUAAUUAAUCCUUUUUAGUUGAAAUUAUCACGUCAAAGUCACUAUGGACUUUGAGAAGAUCUUUAUCUGAAUUUUCAUUUCAAAUUUUAAGAGGGGAUUUUGAAUUUUGAGGGACUCAAAAUCUAAAUCAGCCCCCUUCGAAUCCACAAAUCCAACACAAACUCAUAAAAGCAUGUUCACAAAUUUUAUAGAACAUUCUCCUUUUAAAUAUUCUAUUAUAAUUUUCCUCUAAAACCAUUAAAUUUCACCAAUAUGUAAUUCCAGACUAAUGUUCAAAACUUUCAAAGCAUAUGUCAGGAAGCAACAGGAAUCAAGGAAAUAUACCAUCUGUGUGGUUCCUGGGGCUUUUCAAGAGCUCGCUUUCAUUUGACUGGUAAGGCUCUUCCACGUGACAAGUACAACAGAGCCACCUCCGCAUCCUGCCUCUUUUAGUCACAGAAAUAUCCUCUAGAGUAAUGUUAUUCUCCAAUACGAAGUAGCCAGGAGGAGGAGCAUAUGCCUGCGUAAUUACAGUCAAUCUGUUGAACAUCUCAAAACCAUGCAACAACAAAAUCCGACGCAUUCCAACAAUAAGAAAAACAAAUGUUUGAUAAUCAAAUAAAUUUAACCAUACCAAAGGAUUUAUAAAUUACCCAUAUGUGAAAACCAGCAUGCAUACAAAUUAAAAAGACAAUUUGAAGGAGCCCAAAUUAGGGGAAGAAUAGGAUAAAAUUGCAUUUCCAAUAAUUCUAGACUUGAUCUCAAAUAAUCAUCCCAAAAGUAUGGAAGAAAAUGUUCUUUUGAAUCAACUUCUUUCUUUAAAUAAAUUAACUGACAAAAUAUACCAAAAUAAAAAAUAUUACAUGCUGCAAGUUGUUAUAUAAUAUAGAACAAUAAAAACCUAAAGAGACCCGCAUUAGAUGCAUUACCCACAUUAAAUGAAGCUAUUGCAAAAGGGCGGGAUAAUUUAAGAAUUGGCAAUUCAAUUGGGAAUUAUAAGGAAUAAUUUGGAGGAAAUUCAAGAAAUCUGACAUUUAAGCAACUCAGAAUCUCAGAUCAUUUGGGAAUUUUGAAAACAAAUAUGGAAUUUUUUUUCCUAAACCUAGAGAACAAAAUGAAACCAGACAAAUAGGGAUUCAUUAGCUUCACGAAAAAUUAAGAAUCUUCCCAAGAAUUCAAAAGGCAAAUGUAAUCUUUUUACACAAAAAAAUCAGGCAAAGUUCACCACUGAAAACCAAAUCCGCCAAACAAACAAACAUAAGAAUUCCCAAAAAUCGCACGUGAAUUCUUACCACCAAACCGGGCCGACGAAACUCGCCCCCACCCAUCUCAAAAAAUCCCAAACCCAGAUCGAAUUACAGAUCAAAGACACAUCCCACCAAGAAAUUGACCCAAAAACCCGAUCCCCAGACAGAAACCCUAAAAAAUCCUUGCAAGAAUAUGAGCCAAAAAGGAUUUAAAAAAAAUGAAAUAAAUAACAAAUAAGCCCUAGAAAAGAGGGGAAAACAAUGAAAAGACAAGCAAAAAAAGGCUGGAUCUUUACUAUUAAAACAGAAAAGAAAAGAGAGGGAAGUACCUGGCAAAUGAUGAAUUGGGGGAGAAACUGGAAAUAGGGUUAGGGUUUGUGGUGGUGGAGAAGAAGGAAGAGGAGAAGACAGAUUGGCAAAAAGGAAGAAGCCAAUGGAGUCUAUCUGUCCCUCUCUCUUCUCUCACACAUCGUUUUGGGGGAAUUUUCUCUCUCUAAAAAACAAUAAAGCAUUGGAAGGGGCGGUGGAUGUGGGAGCUGUUUUUGGAAUUCUUCUUUUGUGGAUUUCUGUGUCUUCCAGCUGCCACCCCAAUAUUUCCCCCACUUUUUCCUUUUCUUUUCUUUUCCUUUUUUUUUUUCACUAUUUUUAUAUUUUAAAUUUUCUUUAUAUUUUUUAAUAAAUCCUACUUCUCCUUACCUUUUUCUUCUCCCAAAUAUAAUGUAAUAUUUUAUUUUUAUUAAACAUUAAAAAUAAAUAAAAAUAAAAAUCGAUAUAAUAUUUUUUAUUUAAAAAAUUAAAUAUUUUAAUUUUUUCUAUUCAAUAAAAAAUUUAUAAUAAGUUAUUUUUUAUCAAAAAACUAAAACAAUAAACACGGGAUGAAAAUUUAACAAAAAUGAUUGGUAACAUAAUUAUAUAUAAGUUAUCAUAUUAUUUGUAGUAAAAUUAGUGGAUUGAGAUUCUCGAAUUUCAAAAGCCCUCAGGUCUAAUUGAAAUCUUUUUAUGAUUUAUUUUUUAAAUUCAUAUGAUAUGUAACUGAAAGUUUGCAUUAAUGAUAACAAUUAUAAAAUAAAGUAUGGGUUUAAUAGUAACAUUUAUAACAUAAGUAUAGAAGAGAGAAGUUAGUUAUUAGAUUCAUUCACAUAUAAAUUAUUAAUUUUAAUAAUAAUAAAGUUAAUAAAUAAUAAUCUUAUUUUAGACCAAAAAAAAAAAUAGUUUGGAGUGAAAUGACUAAAACACCCUUUGCCUCAAAUUAAGAUAGAUGAUUAAAAAAAAAUAUCUAUAAAAUAAUUCAAAUUAAUUUAUUUAAUAAUCUAAAAUCAAAAUAUCCAUAAAUUGUUUGAAAAUAUUGGUGAAAUGAAAAAUCGGUAAGAUAUCAAUAAAAUAUCCAAAAAUAUUAUUUUUUUUUAUAUAUUUUUAUGAACUUCAUAUCAGAAUCCAUGAAUAUUGGAUAUAAAAAAAAUGGGGGUGAUAUAUUCAAAUAUUUUAAGACUUGCUUAUAAUAAUUAUUAUAGUCACGAGUCGUUAGAAAAUCAUUAAAAUAAUAGAUUAAAGAAUUAUAGUCAUGGGUCAUUUCAACGUCUUUCAAGAAAAAUGACAUUUUGUUUUUUUUAAUUAUUUUAUGUAAAUUAAAUAAUCUUAUUUUUGACCCACAAGAAGAAAAGUCUAGAGUGAAAUGACUAAAACACCCUCUUCCUCGAAUUAAGAUACAUGGUUGAAUAUCAUUACUUAAAAAAACAAGUCAUUAGCCAAAGAUAACUCUAUGGAAAUAAUUUCGACCAUUUUCUCAUACUUUUAAUUAAUCAAAAAACCAAUCAUGAAAUAAAAUUUCUUUUACAAUUCUAUAAAUUGCAUGGUGUGUCAUUGAGUGUGCAUGUUAAAAAGAUACAUGGAACAAUCUAUUUGAUAAAUAAAUCAUUUUUUGGCAACAUUAUACCAUAUCAACCAUUUUAUAACCUUAGUAGGGUACAAUAAUUGAUCAUGCAUGGCCCAUCUCCCUCAAAAGAUUGGUUAGUACGAUAUCACUUGCCAAAGCCAAAGAAAAAGGGAAGAAAGUGAAAGAGAUAGCUUGGAAUCAUAGCAAGGAAUGGGGUGUAUGAGAAUUAUUUUAGUUAGAAAAAUAGCAUUGCCAUUGAUUCAAGACAUGAGCAUAACUUGUCUUGUUCAAUUCCAAGUAUUAAUAUGAUGUCAAUUGGUAAACUAUAAGGAAAGGGAAAACAAAGAAAGAGAUGGUUGGAAUCAUAGCAAGAUAUAGAAAGAUAUGGAACAUAUACUAUAAUAAAGGUAGAUAACAUUACAUAGAUAUUCCAUUAUGGUUUUAGUUUAACAAAAAUAUCCCUCCUGAUAUUUUCCCAACAUCAUAUCUAUGAAAAGUGUGAUCUACCAUUUUCAUUUUUUAGAAUGUGUUUGAUAGUGAUUCUAAAAAAUGUUUCUAGCCUUUCUAACAUUUGAAUGAUAAAAUUUUUCAAGUGUUAAAAAUGUUAAAAGUGCUUUCUAAAAUCAUUGUCAAAUUGGUUCUUAGAGCCCGUUUGGCAGUGAUUUUUAAAAGUGUUUCUACCCUUAAAAACACUUUUAAGUGUUUUUGGGAUAAAAAUAAAGUGUUUGGCAAAUUUUAAAAAACACUUUUGAAAAUCUGGAAAAACACUUGAAGUGAUUUUUAGAGAAUCACUUGACAGGUGUUUUUUUUAAAAAAACACUUUAAUUUUUUUGAAAUAUUCCAAAAAUGCCCCCCAGUGAUUCUCGAUAUCUUUCUUCUCUUUCGUUCAUACCUCUCUCCUUUAUUAUUAUUUUUAAUUAGAAUUUUUUUUUUUUAGAAAUUAAUAGGUGGUCAUAUAUUGUUUUACUUUUAAAAUUAUCUUUAAUUAAAUGUUCUUUUUUUUUUAUUGAUUUAGAUGUUUUUUGUAAAUAUUUUUUAAAAUUUUAGUAUAGUGAUAAAAAAAUUAUUAUUUUUAAUUAGAAAAGUCUUCUUUUUUUUAGAAAUUAAUAGGUAAUCAUAUAUUGUUUUAAUUUUAAAAUUAUCUUUUAUUCAAUGUUAUUUUUUUAGUGAUUUAAAUGUUUUUUCAUUAAUAAAAAGUUUUUUUGUUUAUCCUACCAUUUUUUUUAAUUAAAAUUGUAUGUCUUUUUUGGUAAUUUAUUAAUAUUAAGAGUGUUUUUAUAUUUAUACAAUAUAUUAUCAAAAACACUUUAGAAUCAUUUUUUCUGAUUAUCAUAAAAGUGUUUUUCACAAAAACACUAUAGUAGAAAACACUUCAAAUAAAAACACUUCCACUAGAAUCACUACCAAACGGGCUCUUAGACUCCUACAAUGCGAUAAAAAAGUAUUACACUUGGGGGUGAUUUUAAAAAUAGUUAAGAGUGUAUUUGACAGUAAUUCUAGGAAAUAUUUUUAGCAUAUUUAAAACUUAAAAGAUAAAAAUUUUCUAGUAUUAAAAAGAUUAUAAAUACUUUUUAAAAUCACUGUCAAACUUAUUCUAAAAGCACUUGUAAUACCUAGAAUUGCAUUUUAUAAAAAUUAUAAAGUGAUUUUAGUAAAAACACUUUAUUUAUAGUGUUUUUGUCUACAUUGUUUAUAUAAUAAGAGUGUGUUUGGUAGUUAUUUUUAGAAGUGUUUUUAGUUUUACUAGUACUUGAAAAAUAAAAAAUUUUAGGUAUUAAAAAUACAAAAAACAUUUUUAGAAUUACUGUCAAACACACUCUAAAAGUCUGUUUAACAGUGAUUCUAGUAGAAGUGUUUUUAUUGGAAGUGUUUUCUUUUAUAAUAUUUCCAUGAAAAACAUUUUUAUAAAAAUAUUUUUAAAGCAAGGAGAAACAUUAGAGAAAAUAUAAUAGAUAAUCUUUUAAAAUUAAUUUCCUAAAAAUCAGUAAAAUAUCAUUAAAAUAUCUGAAAAUAUUAUUUGAUUGAUAUAUCUUUCCACAUUUCGUAUUAUAAUAAUUAUUAUAGUCACGACUCAUUAAAAUUAUUAAAAUAAUAGAUUAAAGAAUUAUUGUCAUAGGUCAUUUCAAUGCCUUACAAGAAAAAUGACAUUUUGUUCUUUUUAAUUAUUUUAUAUAAAUUAAAUAAUCUUAUUUUAGGCCCACAAAAAGAAAAGUUUGGACAAAAAUUUAAAACAUGCGUCUACAUGGGUUUGAUUGAGUACCUGCAUAGAAAGCUACUUGGCUCAGAUUCCCAGAAGGUUUUAUUCCACCAUCUGAUGGAAAUAUGGUUUCUUCUUUAUGGGUCUGUUGGUCUAAGAAAUGAAAUCUAAAGUCUAUCUCAAGGUUCUGAAGGCAGAGAUCCUCAGGCCUUGAAGCUGAGUUCUCUUGGGGGAGGAAAUUCUCAGACUUUGUUUUCUUAUCCUUAGGUGACUCAACUUCCAUCGCUACUUCCUCGUAACUAGAGUACCCUUGGUAGGUAAUUCUGACCACAUUUGCCAAUGUUCUUUGGCCCUUGAAGUAUAAAUAAGACAAAAAAAAUGGAUAAAAUUAUACAUAUCUAGAACAUUACUCACAUCUGAUUGCUUGGGCAAACCUUGAUUUGGAUAUUUAAGAAUCAAGGACCUAUUUUCCUAGAGGAAUGAUCAUUUUUUUCAACUAAGAAUAUUGCACUUGAGGAUUUCUUUUUCUUAUUUGUUUAUUAUGUUUUACAAAAUAUGCCUGUAUGAUGCUCAAUACCGAGUUCACAUUUAAAAAAUUUAAUCAUUCCAAGCAUUGUUUACACUAGAUAGCCAUAUAUUCUUGAUGUUUUGUUCCUUAAUUCUUUCUUUAUUCUUCAUUUUAAUUGUGUGAUUCUUUAUUUGAAAAUUAUUAUUUCUCUAAAAUAUAUAUAUUUUUAAAUAGAGGAUGUCUAGCAAUAUAGUUCAACAAUUACAACAACCAAGUGUUCUUGGGAUGAUAUUACAAUGGAUGCUUUUAUUGAAGUUUGUGUGACUGAGACUUUGGCUUGAAAUAGACCAAAUAAUCACUUUAGCAAGUUGGGAUGGAAAAAUGUGAUAAAAGUCUUCAACAAUUUGAUUGGAAGAAACUAUCAAUAUAAGCAACUUAAGAAUAAAUGGAGUUCUCUUAAAAAGGAUUGAUAACUUUGGAAUACCUUGAUUGGGAAAGAGACUGACCUUAGGUGGGAUCCUAUGAGACAAACCAUCAAUGCAAUCAAUGAACGGUGGGAUAAGAAAUUGAAGGUAUGUUUUGUUUAUUCAUUAAAUUUAUUUGAUUAAUUUAUAUAUUAAUUAUGAAAUAUGAUAAAUUAAAUACUCUUGUAGGAGAAUCCUGAAGCAAUAAAGUUUAAAACAAAAGGCUUGAAAAAUGUUGAGCAAUUGGACAUACUUUUCGAAGAUAUUAUUGUUAUUGGUGAAUGAGCUUGGGCACCAUCACAAGGCUUUGUAGGACGAGUUGUUGAUGAUUCAUCUAAGGUGGGGGAAUGCAAAGAUAAUAUAAUAGAAGGCCAAGAUGACUCUAGUUGCAAUUCGUCACUUGAUACUAUCUCCCAUAGAUUUGAAGCUACUACCCAACCUUCUAUGGAAAAAAAGAAUGAGGGAAGAAGGAAAAGGAAAAUAGAUGAAACCAAAUCUUGAGGUUGUGGCUAUCCAGUUAGAGCCCAUUUGUAGUGUUGUGGAGAAUAGGUCUUUUAUCUCAUCAAGAGCAGAUAAGCUAAUUGCUGAAGUAAUGAAAAUCAUACAUGGCAUGCCUGAAGUGAAGAAUGACUUUGAGUUAUAUAUGAAAGUCACAGAUAUCAUGGUUGUAAAGGAAAAUAGAGAGAUGUUUGUUGCAUUAGAAGACCCAACUGAUCAGAUUGCAUGGCUUAAACAUAAACAUGUUUGACUGUUGGAAUUGUUUCUUAUUCGUAUGUGGAAACAUAUUUUUGCUACCUAAUAUUGUUUAGUUAUUAGGUUGAGGGGAGGAAUGAGAUGUUAGUUUGCUUUGUGUGUGAAUUGAAAAGUCAUUAUGCCCUUGUUUGAUACUUUUUAUUAUUUUUUUCUCUAAAAAUUGUGACUGUUAGAUGAGCUUUGGUGGUAAACUUCUUAUAAAAUUGGUAUUGUUUUUCAUUUUAUUAAUGUGUAGUUCCUCUGUUCUUUUUUUAUGUGCCCUUAACAGAGGCCUUAGUAAUGUUUCUCACUACAAUAGGUCAUGGACUAAGUAAUAUGAUGAUUCAAGAAAGAUUUCGACACUCUGAUGAAUCUGAAUCUAGAUAGUUUGAGAUUGUAUUGGAUGUUGUUUGUCUUAUGGCUAUGGAUAUUACAAAACCAAGUGAUCCACAGUUUAAGGAAGUCCUUGAUAAAAUAAGAAAUGAUGAUCGAUAUUGGCCAUAUUUUAAGGAUUGUAUUGGGGUAAUUGAUGGAACUCAUAUGCCUAUUGUGGUUCCUAGAGAUAGAAAAACACCAUAUAUUGGUAGAAAAGGCAUGACUACCCAAAAUGUUAUGGCAAUAUGUGAUUUCAAUGUGUUUCACAUUUGCAUGGGCUAAAUGGGAAGGUGCUGCUCAUGAUGCACAUGUCUUUUUAGAGGCAUUAAGAAGGCUAGAAUUGGGUUUUCCUCAUCCACCUAGAGGUUUGUGAAUGACAAUAUCAAACUUGUUUUUGUGAUCAAAUUUUUAUUAUCUAAUAUAUAUAUAUUUUGUUUUUAUUUUGUAGGUAAAUAUUAUUUGUUGAUGUUGAUUAUCCUCAAAUGAGUGGAUAUUUACGCCCUUAUAAAGGCGAGUGUUACCAUCUUCCAGAUUUUCAAUGAGGUAGUUCUUAUAAUUAUAAAUAAAUUAAAAAAUAAAUAGUUUUAGUAAAAUAUGAAUAAUAAUGGUAUAAUCAAAUCAUAAAUUAUUAUUUUUAACUAUCUAUUUGAAUUUCAAGUUAUUUAAAAAAAAAAAAAGUAAACUCGUUAAUGAAUCCAAUAUAUUAAGUUUUACUUGAUUUAGAGUUUAUUUAUUUAGUAAAAAAAUUACAAAAAUAUGAUUAUUUAUAAAUAAGAAACUAGUUAAGUCAUUCAAACUGAAUUUUGAUUUAUGACUUUCUAACCUUAAUUAAAUUAGUUUUUGAGUUUCCAAUUAUUUUAAAAAUUAAUAAAUUUUAUAUAUCAAGUAUAAUUUGAUUUAUAAUUAUUUGCUUAAUGAAAAUUUUUAGAGAAAUUUAAAAAAAAAUUUCAAACAAAAACACACAUAAUUUAAGAAAAUAUCAUAUCUGAAGAUUUUGGAAUAAAUAUUCAACUGUUGAGAAGGAAGGAAACAAAAUCAUUUUCAAUUUCUUUAAUUUUUCUUUUAUUUUUAAUUAACAAUGAAAACAACUUUUAUUUAUACUCUCUAAAUUAUGUUUGCUAUUUCACUUUGUUUCUUAUCUAUUUUUCUUUAUUUUUAAAAUUAGAAAUUAAAAACAACCAAAUAAAGCUAUUAAAUUUUAAAAAUAAUUUAAUAUUAGAAAAAAAAAAAAACUCUUACGAUUUUUAAAACUAUUUCAAAAAAAUGUUUUAUGAUGUUUCCUAAAACAAAAAUAUGUUUGAUAACUUGAAAUAUUAUUAACUUAUUUUUUAUGUUUCAAAUAUUUUUUUUAAAUAACUUUUAUUGAUAGUGUUUUAUUUUCAAUUAUUCUUCAUAUUCAUAUAAUUAUUUUUUAAAACAAUUCUAAAAAAAAUAAAUGAAAACAAGCAAAACACAUCCUUAAAAAAACCUUUAUUUUAUAUUUUUAAGUUGUUAUCAAAUAUGUGUUUUUGUUUUUUGUUCUUAAAAAUCUAAAAUUGUUUUUGAAAAUGACUUCCAAACAUUUCCUUUAUUUCCAAACUAUAUGUAUAUAAUCCAAUUUCUAGUUUGUUAAUCACAUUGAGAUUUGGAGGAAUCGAAAAGUGCUUUUUGGUGCCAAAACAAACUGAUAAAGAAAGAGGGCAGUUAAAAAUGGAAAAGAAACAACAGAAUGGCAUACCCACCAGCUUCCCAUAUCACACAUGGUGGAAGCAUUCAUAAUGAAUACAGAUUUUCAUCUCAGUCGCAUUCCCAUUCCCAUUCCCAUUCCCCACCACACAGAAUCAUCACUUUUAAAUUCAAAUUCACACCCAUCAGUCAAAAAGCACUCUCACUAAGAAAUUGACUUUUCUUUUGAUACCUCCUAUCCUAGAUGCUCCCUAUUUUAUUUAAAUAUUAGAAUAGUGGGUUGGACAGCUAGGACUGCUAUAAUAUCUAGGUGCACCCAUGUACCAUUUGGUGCUCUUAGCUUCACUGUCCCUACAAAUAAUAAAUAAAGGGAAAUUUCUUCUAUGGUAGGUGGGAACAAUACUGAAUUGUCCUAUAGGAACAGUAUUAAAUAAAGUUGACCAAUCUUCAUAAGAAUUGAAGAGAAAAAAUUGGCUUGAACAAGAAAAUGUUGAGAGAGAUGGGUCAACUUUUAUAUUUUGUUGUUUGUCUUUUUAUAUUUUGUUUUAAUAGGAAAAAAAAAUUAACUUUUAUCUAAAAUAUGAAGUCAAUAACUGACUUCUAUUUGAGUAAUAAACUACCCUAUACAGAAGAAAUCAACUUGGAAAGAAAAUGAGUAGAAAACAGUUACCUGGGUCAUUGUUAAGAGACUCACCACCACCAGCCACCAGCCACAACUGCCAUCACCACCAGUAUGACCAGAGCAGCCACCAAACCAGAGCUGCUGCUGCUGCUGCAGCCAUGGCUCUGUUCAAAAGAAUGCUUGAUCAAAUACCAGAAAAAUCAGUUUCAUUUUCUUCCCUUUUCCUGCUCUUUCAAAGGAAUCAAGCACUCAGCAUUUCAAACAUGGGAGAUCAGCUAAACCUUAUACCAUUUAUCAUCAGCCUCAUAAGCAGUCCUACAUUUAUCAGUGAAUAAAGCAUUCCAAGAAAUGGUAGAUACAUGAGUUGGGCGAUUACAAUAGAUUGCCCUAAAUACGAACAUAUAAAAGAACCUUUACACUACACAUACCAAGAAUCUGAGUUUUGGAAAACUAAAACUUUCCCAAUGAUAUAGCAAAACUAGAAGCAAUUUUAAAUAUUGACUGAAGAGAUCUAUGAGUCAGACACUGACAUCUCAGCAAUCAAGAUACUUGGCUCAGGGGAGCCCACUCAUCUAUGAAUCACAAAUUUAGCAUUUCACUCAGUUAUUCUUCAGGAACAACACAUAUAUUCAAUUGUCUACCACCAAAAUUCCCUUCUGUACUUUCAAGCAAAAUAGACCCAUCUUCUGUCUCCAAAUGCAUAACAAGUAACAAACCAACAGAAAAAAGAAGGGGAAACAAAAAUAAAAUAAAAACAAACUUGGCAGUAACAGUGACGUUCUUGAAAUCCUCCCCCACCUUUGUACAAUAAAUAAGUAAGUACGAGACUUCGACCUUUGACAGCUUGGAAGUCGAGGGCCACAAGAUACUUGAGGAGUCACUUGUCAAACAGAGUCUUGAGAUCUGUCUGCACUAACCUUUGGUUUGGAUUGGUCUUUGAAACCUAACAUUUUGUUUAGCGCACUAAUGUAGGCCCGAACACUGGAGACGACAAUAUCCAUUCCUGCCCCAGUCCCACUGGAACCAAAAGAACAUUUUAGAUACUGUGAAUUUGGAGGUAAACAUAACAUGGAAGAAACAAAUAUCAAGAAUAUACCUAAAUGAACGAUGAACAGUCUCUCCUGUCAAAGCAUUAGUUAAGGUGUGAUUUUUCUCCCCACGGAUUAAAACCCGCGUGGUAGCUAUUGCAUCAAUACCUUCUGUGACAGCAUUCAAACCAUACUCAAGAAGUGUAACUUGUUCCUGCAUAUCAAAGCAGAAAAGAAAACUCAGCAAUAUUUCUCCAUUGUAAACUAUUGUGGCAUGAUCUUAGUAAAUUGGAUGCAUCUGAGCAAGAAAAAAGUCCAACAAUAAGAAGACAAGCUUCUGAUGUGGGAUUUUCCCUUCCUGAGAGAGGUUAGUAGGUUUUCUAUAGAGAUAAUUAGAGCCUGUAAGGAGCAAUGGAUAGAAGGGCACUCAAGGCAUUGAAUUGGGUUGAAUGAGCUAAUGAACCUAGACAAUGGGGAAAAGGCCCUGAGAGUGGGGCAAGCGUUGUUCCAGUCAGGGUUACUGUUUCCCUGAAGUUCAUUUGUCUCUGGGCUCUUCUGGGAGAAGUGGCACAGUCUGGAAUUAAACAAAAGGUAAUUCCUGACAGAGUAUCUAGAGCAGGCAGUGUAUUCAAUAAGUAGGCUUGUUAUGAAAGUAUUUCAUAAAAAAGCAAAUUACAGUAUUAGGUUUGUAGAAAGAUAUUCUAAAGAAUGUGGAGCAAGAAUCUGGGAGCAGGGGAAAUAUUGAUGUUCUAAAUUAUGGUAUUGGUUGUAAACUUCUUACUUGCCACCAGCCACGCAAAGGUCUUGACUUUAGGUGAAAGUUUGGUCUUCUAAGUUCUAAAUGAAGUUUGCUGGAAGAAAGGAUCUUGAACUGGUGGAACCAGAGGGGGCACUAACAAAUGAACUGAUUGAGAACAUACCAAAGGAUGUCAACUGUCAAGGACCAAACUUCUGAAGUUUAUACCUAGAAAGGUGGAUGUAUAUGCACACAGACUAGAGUCGAUACAUGGAUUGUGAAUUCCUCAAAUUCAUGAUAAAAAAUAUUGCAUUGAAAAGUGAAAUUUCUUGCUGAAGAAUGAUAUGAACUUAGAACUAAAGAAACACAGGAAUUUCUCAACCUCACCACUCUAUAGAGAUUUGGGAACUGAACCAUGAGUUAAUCACUCCACCAAUAUCCUCCCAAAAGUGAAUUUUUGUGCUCAUCAUCCAAUGAAUACCCAGUAAAACAAGAGAUAUUAGAGAAUACUUGUGUAAUUGCCUUCUUUUAGGAUGCCCAUGAUGUUUCUUUUGAUUUCUAAUUUCCCAUUACACAAGAUAAUAUAUAGUUAUGGGUGGGAUGUCAAAGAGGGCAGGAGAUCGAACUAACGUGGUAAAAGAUUACUGUAAAAAGUGAUGGGAUUAAUUUCAAUAGCCUAUGACAACUAUUAGUCUAUGCUGCACCCAACUGCUAAUCAUGAUAAAACUUUUAUUUUUUGAUAAGCAAGCAAUGGUAAGAUACAUCUUAAUAAAAAGAGCAAUAGACCAAUGUAUGCAGGUUGUAUACAAAGGGAAAUCAAAAGGUAUAGCCCGGAAGAGGGAAAAUACAAAAAACUGCUCCCUUCCUCAUCUCAAUUCCACCCAAUCUACAAAAUCGAUUAAAGACACUAAUCUUUCUGCUAUGUACAUGCUUACUUAUAAUGACAAACUUAUAACAAAGGAACUCAUCAAUGACUGAUCUAGAUCCCACCCAAUCAUGAUAAAACUAAACAUAUUAAAAUAGAUAAAGGUAAAUUAUUCAAAACAAGAUUGAGGCUCAACAAAUAUGCAACCUAUUUGUGAGAACUGGAGAUCAGCUCCCAAUAUUCCAAAGAAGCAGUUGGUUCAAUUUUCCAUAGGUUUGCAUGUCUGAUACACAUGCAAUAACUGGAAAAGAAAUGCUCUAAGACAUUAACAUAUAAAUAAUCAAUUUAGAGGGCAUUUCAGGUAUUUCACAUCCUUGAUAUGAAUUAAAAAAUAGGGUUGGGAGCAUUGCGUUACAAAAUCUUCUUUAGUAACCUUUUAAUGCAAGCAAGGUCCAAAAAACUCAUAUCUAUGUAAGAUAUACACAAGAGGGAGAAAGGCUAAAAAGGAAAACCUAUAACUUUAAAGAAUCUAAGAACUUAAAAAACGACAAAACCAUCUCACAUUAAUCCAUCUAAUCCAAAGGAAAAAGCAACUUGACACUAACUUCAACUUUACUAGGGAACACUACAUCCUUAAGGAUUCUUUUCUUUCAUUCCUUCCAAAUAAAAUCAACACAAAGCAUGCACUUCUUUACAUGAAAUCUUCAAAAACUCUUAUUGUCAGCAACAAUACCCUAACCUGCAAGGGAGUCCACAACUUUCCUGACAGAUGCCAACUUCAAAAUCCAUCUCCUUCAUGGAAUUGUUUAAAGCUUUCAUGAUAGUUUCCCCUCCCCUCUCUUCUUCUUUACAUCUUUUUCCUCAUCUCUACUAGAUAUGGCAACCCCAUGUUGAAUAUAGACAAUCAUAUAGGUUUUCUUUCCCUUCCUGUACUUUGGAUAUUACUCCUGGACACAACCAUUCUAUUCUAUGGCUUCUAUCACAAUCCACCAAAACCAGCCUAGGGGCUAAAGAGAUGAUAUUUAAUAAGUGAAUACUUUUUAAUAGGUGUUCGUACACAAUUUUCUUUAACUUUUCUAACGGAUCAUAAAGGCAAAGAUCAUAAAGCUUCUCAAACCUUCACAAGGAGAUCAAUGGCCUUGUAAGCUGAAUCAACUGGCCCAGUCCCGACUGAACAGGCAACAUGCUUUUGCCCAUCAGCAUCAAUGAGCUUAACAGUCGCUGUAGAAAGACCAAGAGUGCCACAAGUCACCUGCAAGUUACAUCCAUUGUGAUUGAUGACAAUUUGUUCAUUACAAAACAAGAACACUCAUUUAAGAAGCAACAAAAUCAGAAAUGAAGUCUUGAUUUACCUGCAGAUCACCAAGCUUCCAAAAAACUUUUGGCUGAAAUAUUUCAUCCGAUACCAAUGCUAUUACAUCAACAUCAGUCAGAUUCUGGGAAACCAUUAAUUAAAAUAGAGAAUCAACAAAAAGUCAUCUUAAUAAAAGAAAUAAAAAACAUGCACACAAAGAUCGUUUCUGCUUAUGUAUGUUUGACCCAAAAGAAACAGCUUCUAAGGAAUGAAAUUUAAGAGGAUGAAUUUGUCCAUGUGCAACAAAUUCACAAAUACUAUACUUAUACAGACAAGCUUUACAUAGAGAAUAAAAACCUAGGCACCAAAACCCUGAUAUACCCAGGAAAAAGCAUGCAACUUGACAAGGACAGAUCAUAUGAGCACUCUCUCUAAUAAAUAUUUAAUUUGGACCUUAAAAGACUGGAAAGAAAUUCUCUCCUUUCCAAGAUAAACUAUGACCUGACGCCUACCAUAUUGUACCUAAAAAAGAAGGCCCCACACCAAGGUACAUUAUGCACAUAAACAAUGUGUUCAACUAAAACCAUUCAUGAACUAAACAUUAUUGGAAUUAUCAUCAUUUUCAAUACCGCCAAUAUUUUAUUUUUUUUUAGUUUUUUGAUAGGCAAAUAAAAAAUAUAAUAAUAACCAUAGUUUUAAAAGGCUCAAGGUGCAAAGUAGUCCCGGAGCUUGAGGCGCAAGGCGCACCUAAGGCGCGGGCUUUAGUGAAGUGAGGCGCACCCUAAUUUACAUAUAUAUUUUUAUAUAAUAUAAUCAAAUUUAACAAUCAUUUAUUUGUCCUAAACACAUAAAUCAUCAAAUAUCAUCCAAAACUUCAAUUUAAUCAACAAAAAGCAUAAAAAUAAAUAACUCCAAGCAUAAAAACAAAUCCAAAUCCAUAUUGCUAAUAGCCUAAUACAUAUCCCAAUCCAAAGUUUCCAAACCAAAACAUGAAAUUUGUCCACAAUUCAAAAACAUCAUUAAAAAACACUUAAAUAACAAAUUUUUCCACAAGCAAUCAUCACUCCUCCUCUAAAUCAACAAAAUCAUCAUCAUCAUCAUUUCCAUCAUCACAUUUGUAUCCUUCCCCAUCUUCUUCAUCUACUGAAUCAACCAUGUCUCCAUGUUUAUCUUCAUCUAUUAGUGAAUGAGAAGGCAAAGUUUUAGAACUUGAAGUUAUCCCCCUCGUUGGUGGUAUUAUGCUUGAGCUUGCUCUAGCUCUAGCUCUAGUAUCAAACCUGGCCUCCUCAGCUCCAGUAGCUCUAGCAACAUCACCCCAUGUCAAAUUAUCAUCAUCAAAUACAAAAUCAUCUUGUGCACCUCCAUAAGAAUCCUCAUCUUCCAUUCUUCCUAUCAACCAUUCAUUACUAUCAUCUAUAUCUUUCAAAGAAAUUGGGUCAAUGGUGUUACGUUCAUUGUAUCUUCUCUUCAAGGCUCAAUUAUACUUAAUGUAUACCAAAUCAUUCAAGCGUUGAUGAUCUAAUCUAUUUCUCCUCUUACUAUGAACUUGCAAAAAUUCAUAAGCUCAUAAAUAUAUUUUAAAGUUUUAACUUUUAAGUUACAUUCAAUACUCUAUUAGACUAUUACUUGUAAUUAUUUUGGUCACUUACAUUUUCAAAGAUGCUCCAAUUCCGUUCACAACCUGAUGCACUACAUGUUAAGUUGAGGAUUUUCAUUGCAAACAUUUGGAAAUUUGGAGUUGAAGCUCCAUAUGCAGCCCACCAUUCAACUGUAGUAUAGAUAUUAACAUUUUAGUGAAACAAUUCACCUAUUUUAGCAAAAAUACAAUCCAAUCAUUUAAAUAAAGAAAACUAAAUAACUAAUCUAGUGCUCUAGUCUUCCUUGUCCUAACAGCUGACUCAUUCCCGAAUAGUCCUUAGGCAGUUGUGUACAAAUUCACUUCAGCCAUAACUUUUUCUUGCUUAGCAGGGUCUCUUGUUAGCCUUAAGAUGCAUUUAUACAAAUCACUCAUAAUCUCUGCAUCACGCUCUAUUUCUGGUUUAUCAUAGAAGAAUUUUAGGUUCAAAAAGUACCCUGCUGCAUGCAAAGGCCGAUGAAGCUGAAUCUCCCACCUCUUAUCAAUGAUGUUGAAGAUUUCUUUGUACUUUUCUUCAUUUCCAUUAAAACUUCUCACAAUUGUAUCCUUAGGUCUAUUCAUGGCCUCAUAGAUGUAUCCCAUAGGAGUUUUUUUUCCACCAUCAACCAAACGAAGCACACGAACUAGGGGACCCGAAACCUUUAAGCAAAACACAAUAGUGUUCCCAAAUGAAGGCAUUAGAACUAUGUUGGCUAUAGUUUCCCCCUUCUGCUCUUUUGCCCAUUUACUAUCUGACCAAUCUGAGCUUGUAAACAUCUUCCUCAAGUUAUUUUUUUGUUCAUGCAAUCGCAAUAAUGUGAUGAAAGCAGUUGCAAACCGAGUCUUAGCAGGCCUAAGCAAUUCCCGUUGUCUAGUAAACCGCCUCAUCAUGUUGAGUAGCCCUAAGCGAUUAUAAAUAUUCCCAUUUAGUGAUAUAGCCCUCUUCAAUGUCUUCUUGAUGUUUGGUAGCUUUCCAAUAUCUUCCAACAUCAAGUCAAGGCAAUGUGCAGCACAUGGUGUCCAAUACAAAUGCGGGCACUUUAAUUCUAACAACCUUCCUAUGUGACAUUGUAGAUAAUAAAUUUACACAAGUUCUCGAGAUAAAUAAUUCAAAUUUUAAAAGUAAAUAAAAAUUCAAGAAAUAGUAUUUAUUACUUGUCAUCACAUAACUUAAGUGAUUACCUGUUAUAACUUGAAUAACAUUCUCCUCACUGACUUGCUCUACCCAUUUGUCAAGUAACUCAAACAUCUUUUCUCCUAUCUUAAUCAUUGAAGAAGCAUCAAUAGAUUGCAUGAACAUAGUUCCCUUUGAACAAUUAACCAAAAAGUUCACCAAAGUUCUCUUUUUCCUAUCGGUCCAUCCAUCCAACAUAAUUGAGCAUCCAUUUUUUCCCCAUUCCACCAUAUGAUCUUUCAUCAAAUCUUUUGUGAGAGACAAUUCUUUCUUAAGGUUAGUAACUCUUACCUCAUGAAGAGUUGGUCCCUUCAUACCCACACCAUAUUGGCUAAUAGCCUCAAUCAUUGGUUGGAAACUCGGAUAUGUGACUGCAUUAAAUGGAAUAGCAACCUCAUACAUCCACCUUGUGAUAAGCAUACAAGCUCUUUCUCUUGCUUCCUUUUUGUAGGCAUCAUUGAUGGUAGUUUAAUUCAUCUUCCUACUCCUUUGAUUUUGAACAACCAUCUCUGCAUUAGGAGUGAAAAAAUGAUCCAUAAGACUUUGUUGUCUUGGUUUUUUUUAAGAAAACAUCCUACCACCACUUCCUCCUCGGUUACUACCUUCACUAGAAAUGUUGGUGACAUUCAUUCUACUAUUAAUUUCCUCACCAAAAUCUUCAUCUUCCAAACCAAACAAAUCUUCAUUAACAUCUUCACUCCCCAAAUUCAUUUGCUUUUUUUUUUUUUUUUUCUUGGAACUCAUAUACUCUUCCAUUUCUUCUCUAACAUGUUCCAGACAUUUUCUACAUUUUUUAGCAUUUCUAUAUCCACCAACAAGAUGUUGUUUGUGUCUAUAUAUGCCUCCUUUGGUUACUUUAUCACAAAAAAUUGCAUAUGACGGUGUUUAAAUCUUUUUCAUUAACCAAACGAGCAUACUUCCAUUUGGGAUCUCUUCUUCCACUUGCACUAGAGUCCACUUGAGUUUCACUCUCAUUAUCCAUCUCGCAAAAAAAUUAUCUAUACUACAAUAAAAUAAUUAUAAUUAAAUUAAGAAAAAAAUUUGAAAAAGAAAAUAUGCAUAUCAUAUUAACAAAAAAUAUGCACAUGAGUAUUUUUUGUUUGUUUAUUUUUAUUUAGUAAAAUUUUCAUGUCAAAAUACAAUAUUUAUAUUUAUACUACAAUAUACAAUAUUUAAAUUUAUAAUUUUAUACUACAAUAAAAAAUUAUAAUUAAAUUAAGAAAAAAAUUGAAAAAAAAAAAUAUGCAUAUCAUAUUAACAAAAAAUAUGCACAUGAAUGUUUUUUGUUUAUUUAUUUUUAUUUAGUAAAAUUUUCAUGUCAAAAUACAAUAUUUAUAAUUAAAAAAAAAUGUCAAUGAGAGUUAUGAGACAACAAUGGAAAAAAAUAUAGAAAAGUGAAGAAAAGAGAAAAAUACCGAGGUCCCGGAAAGGUACGUGACUAUUUUUCCUCCUCUUCUUCGUCUUCUUCACUUCUCCACCGCAUUGUUGAGGCUAGGGCACGAUUUGGGAGUGGUGUCGAGUUCAAAAAUACCAAAAAAAAAAGGGUUUGGAAAGGAAAACAGGGCCAAAACGACGUCGUUUUGGUCCCAAAAAUCCAAAAAAAAAUUAAGGCUUCUCAGCUCUUAGCCCUUUGCAACACGACGCGGUGAUUGAAGAGAAGAAGAAGAAGAAGGAGAAGGAGAAUGAGGAGGGCGUACCUAGCCGGAGGUGACCACGUUGCGCCUUGCGCACCUAAGUGGCGCCUUCGUGAAGGGGCGUCACAUCCCUUCAGGCGAGGCGCCGAAGGGUGGCGUCGUGCCGCCCGGAGCCUAGGCGCGCCUUUCACAACUAUGAUAAUAACACUUAACAAAAAGCAUAUCAAAGUACAUAGAAUGUAUACAAAGGAUGCCAAGAGACAGAAGGGAAGGAGUAGAGAAAACAAAAUCCCCUUCAUGAAAACCCCAACCAAUGGAUAAAAUCAAUCAUGGUUAAGGAAUUUCCAUCUUUUUUUUUUCUUUUUUUUUUGGGAUGAUGAAAUUCAUUAAUAAUAGCAAAAAGACAACAAAGUACACCAUAAGUAUACAAAGCGCACCAAAGCUAACAACAAAAAAGAGCCAAGGAGAAACCAAGGUUGGAUUACAAAAAACACCUCCCUCCCCUAUUAAGAAUCCAACCACUCAACAAAAUCGAUUAGAGACAUUGAGUUGCCACCUAUGUACAAUUUGACAAGAAGAUAAGAUAAUAAGGAACAUGCUAUUCAGACUCUGGAUAGACAACUCCUCAUUCUAAAAUGACCUUUCAUUUCUCUCUUUCCACAAAGUCUAAAAAAUGCACAAAGGAGCAACUCUCCAUACCACCUUCUGUUUUUUUUCAAACAACAAAUCCAUACCACCCUAGCAAAGUCUUCGUCACUAUGACCACUUGAACCAAAGAAACCUCAAACAAAGAAAACAAAAGCAAAAGAACCCUUGCCAUGCGGUGGUGAAGGAGGAUAAAAUCAAUUGACUCCUCAUCCACUUUACAAAGAAGGCAUCUAUUAACCAAUGUCCACCCUCUUUUUUGGAGUUGGUCAAGAGUCAAAACUUUUCCCCAGCAAACUUCCCACACAAAGAAAUUUGCCUAAGAGAGAGCCUAUGGAUUCUAGAUGUACCCUUGCUGGAAAGGCAAUUAAGUUCCUUGGCUCAAGACAACAUAUAGAGACUUCAUUAAGAAUGUUUCUUUCCUCAAAACCAUCCACCCUACCCUAGCCUCCUCCUCUCGAUUCACUAACAUAUCUUGCAGUCCAGCAAAAAAAUGUUGUACAUUAUCAAGCUC
rnacentral:lncRNA from 1 species